CAGUAGCCGCGGGAAUACGAAGGGGGCUAGCGUUGUUCGGAUUUACUGGGCGUAAAGCGCACGUAGGCGGAUCGAUCAGUCAGGGGUGAAAUCCCAGAGCUCAACUCUGGAACUGCCUUUGAUACUGUCGAUCUGGAGUAUGGAAGAGGUGAGCGGAAUUCCGAGUGUAGAGGUGAAAUUCGUAGAUAUUCGGAGGAACACCAGUGGCGAAGGCGGCUCACUGGUCCAUUACUGACGCUGAGGUGCGAAAGCGUGGGGAGCAAACAGGAUUAGAUACCCCGGUAGUCCCUGUCUCUUAUAC
rnacentral:rRNA from 1 species